CCUACGGGAGGCAGCAGUGAGGAAUAUUGGUCAAUGGGCGCAAGCCUGAACCAGCCAUGCCGCGUGAAGGAUGACUGCCCUACGGGUUGUAAACUUCUUUUAUAAAGGAGUAAAAUGAGGCACGUGUGCCUUUUUGUAUGUACUUUAUGAAUAAGGAUCGGCUAACUCCGUGCCAGCAGCCGCGGUAAUACGGAGGAUCCGAGCGUUAUCCGGAUUUAUUGGGUUUAAAGGGAGCGUAGGUGGGUUGUUAAGUCAGUUGUGAAAGUCUGCGGCUCAACCGGAAAAUUGCAAUUGAUACUGGCAGACUUGAGGUCAGAUGAGGUAGGCGGAAUGCGUGGUGUAGCGGUGAAAUGCUUAGAUAUCACGAAGAACUCCGAUUGCGAAGGCAGCUUACUAGACUGCAACUGACACUGAUGCUCGAAAGUGUGGGUAUCAAACAGGAUUAGAUACCCGGGUAGUC
rnacentral:rRNA from 1 species